rnacentral:rRNA from 1 species
UGAGGAACAUGACCUUCGGCGGGGGGAUAGCCGGCCCAACGGCCGGGUAAUACCGCGUACGACCACUUUGGGACAUCCCUCGGUGGUGAAAGCAGCAAUGCGCCGAUGGAGUGCCUCGCGGCCUAUCAGCUAGUUGGUGAGGUAACGGCUCACCAAGGCGACGACGGGUAGCUGGUCUGAGAGGAUGGCCAGCCACAUUGGGACUGAGACACGGCUCAGACUCCCGUAGGGAGG